rnacentral:rRNA from 1 species
AGUGAACGCUGGCGGCGUGCUUAACACAUGCAAGUCGAACGAGAACGGAUUAUAGCUUGCUAUAAUUGUCAGCUAAGUGGCGCACGGGUGAGUAAUGUAUAGGUAAUAUGCCUCUUACUAAGGGAUAACAAAUGGAAACGUUUGCUAAUACCUUAUACUCCUUAUUAACAGAAGUUACUAAGGUAAAGAUUUAUUGGUAAGAGAUUAGCCUGUAUUGUAUCAGUUAGUUGGUGGGGUAAUGGCUUACCAAGACUAUGACACAUAACUGGUCUGAGAGGAUGAUCAGUCACACUGGAACUGAGACACGGUCCAGACUCCUACGGGAGGCAGCAGUGGGGAAUAUUGCACAAUGGACGAAAGUCUGAUGCAGCAACGCCGAGUGGAGGAUGACACAUUUCGGUGCGUAAACUCCUUUUAUAUGAGAAGAUAAUGACGGUAUUAUAUGAAUAAGCACCGGCUAACUCCGUGCCAGCCGCCGCGGUAA